rnacentral:rRNA from 1 species
UACGUAGGGUGCGAGCGUUGUCCGGAAUUACUGGGCGUAAAGAGCUCGUAGGUGGUUUGUCGCGUUGUUCGUGAAAACUCACAGCUUAACUGUGGGCGUGCGGGCGAUACGGGCAGACUUGAGUACUGCAGGGGAGACUGGAACUUCCUGGUGUAGCGGUGGAAUGCGCAGAUAUCAGGAGGAACACCGGUGGCGAAGGCGGGGUC